CACACGUGACACAAUAGACUAUUUUUUUUUUUUUAACUGUAAAAAUACCAACUGUUAAAUAUAUUGGUGACGAUGUAUAUUUUGAUCGUUUUAGACCUAAACGACAGAACAAUACUGUGGGAAUUGAGCGAUUUUAAUUUUAAAAAUGGAUUAUGAUUUGGGAAACCAUCACUAAUUCCCUCAAAUAUACACAUAAAUUAUUAUGUACUUACAUACUAUGUGUACAUGAUUAUGUACUUGCAACGCAUUUAUAUGAAACAUUUUAUAUAUUUAUGUUUAUAAUUUAUAAUAACAGUAAUAAUAAUUUAAUAUGUGUGUUUUGUGGGCCGUUCAUAUAUUAGUCGUUAUCGUUAAGUUAUGUAUUAAUGGUUUCCGAGUGUAUUAUAUUCUAGUAUUAUUGUUUUCGACGUUCGCAUACACAAUAAUAAUAUAAUCGUAAAUAAUAAUAAUAAUAAUAACAAUAAUUACAACAAUGGUAGCGAUAACAAUAUAAUUAUAACGAUGACGACAAUAAAGACGGUCGACUCCGCCCGCGUUUCUCGAUCCAUCCGUAAGGCUGAGGCCGCACACAAGCGUUUUCACCGCAAUGUCAGACUGAGUAGAAAAUAUUCGACAGCACCCGGAUGCGUUUUUGUUGAGGAUCGGUGACGGAGUUUGUAUUUUAAUCGUAUUAUAACCUUUGAGCCAUACAAAACUGUAGGAUGUAUGUUUGACGAAUUUAAAUUUUGAAAACGGAUUACGAUUCUAUAAUAGGUUCUUUACAAGGAUAGGUACGUACGUAGAAAUAGAAAAUAAAUAUUAUUUUACU